rnacentral:ncRNA from 1 species
AUAGUUACUGCUGUGAUAAGAGGCAACUCUGAAUGUAUCAGUAAUUACUAAAGUGAGACUAUAGACUACAAAGUUUGCAGUCUAAUGGGAACCGCCCAAUGUUAUAUGUAAGUUCCAAAUCAUGUUACUCAUUAAAGAUGUAUUAACCAUAUAUCUAACGAGAGACAUGCUAAGAAUCGAAGUAUAACCUAAGAUAGAAAUAUCUUAGUGUAGUAGAGUGCUCUCUAAAACACUUUUAGAGAUAUAAGAAUGCUGACAUGAGAAAUAAAAUAGAUCUUAAGUACAAGUUAAUUAUAAGACACAAUGCUUAAGUAAGAUACGGAUGAAUAAUCCUACUGAUAGUUAAUGAAUGCCAAUGAAUCGUAAGACUGAUCAUUGAGUUUAUUACACUGGAAAUAUCUUAUGCGUAUGUUACUUCUACCAAGGAAUAGCCUUACGUGUAAUCAUUGUGACUAAAAUUGAUACAAAUGUACAUGUAGAGAAUACUAAGAUCUAGAAUUAAAUUAUUGUUAAGAAACUUGGCAAAUCAAUCCUGUAACUUCGGAAUAAAGGAUGGCGUAUUUGAUGUUAACUAUCAGGUACGUAACACAGAAAGGGACCUGAGUCUGUCACUAAACACAUAGCACUUUGCUAAGGAGUAAUCCUACGUAUAAGGUAUAUUGUUGACUGAUGCUUUAUGUAGCGUAAUUAUUUAUUCACUAAAUAUGGAUGUGUAUGGAUUACGUGACAC